UACAGAGGUCUCAAGCGUUGUUCGGAUUCAUUGGGCGUAAAGGGUGCGUAGGCGGCGCGGUAAGUCGGGUGUGAAAUCUUGGAGCUUAACUCCGAAACUGCAUUCGAUACUGCCGUGCUUGAGGACUGGAGAGGAGACUGGAAUUUACGGUGUAGCGGUGAAAUGCGUAGAUAUCGUAAGGAAGACCAGUGGCGAAGGCGGGGUCUCUGGACAGUUCCUGACGCUGAGGCACGAAGGCCCAGGGGGAGCAAACGGG
rnacentral:rRNA from 1 species